GACCGCAUAGCUCAGUUGGAAGAGCAUUGGGCUAGUAUUCCAAAAGUCGUAGGUUCGAAUCCCGCCGUGGCCA